GGUCAAGCUACAAAGGGCUCACGGCGGAUACCUUGGCACACAGAGGCGAUGAAGGACGUGGUUACCUGCGAUAAGUCUCGGGGAGCUGGAAACACGCUUUGAUCCGGGAAUUUCCGAAUGGGGCAACCCUUUGAACGGCCAGCUGAAUCUAUA
rnacentral:rRNA from 1 species